rnacentral:rRNA from 1 species
GACGAACGCUGGCGGCGUGCUUAACACAUGCAAGUCGAGCGGAGCGGCGAACGGGUGAGUAACGCGUGAGUAACUGCCCCCCCCCCUGGGUAAACAGUUGGAAACGGUUGCUAAUACCGGAAAGUGGGGGAUGACUCGCGUCCGAUCAGCUUGUUGGUGGGGUAGUGGCCUACCAAGGCGACGACGGGUAGCCGGCCUGAGAGGGCGACCGGCCACAUUGGUCUGAGAUACGGCCCAAACUCCUACGGGAGGCAGCAGUGGGGAAUAUUGCACAAUGGGGGAAACCCUGAUGCAGCAACGCGCGUGCGGGAUGACGGCCUUCGGGUUGUAAACCGCUUUCAGCCAUGACGCGGUAGUGGCAGAAGAAGCACCGGCUAACUACGUGCCAGCAGCCGCGGUAAUUC